rnacentral:lncRNA from 1 species
CUCUGCAGCUACUUCAGUAAAAGAUAAUGCCUGGACAUGCAGACUUCCCAUAAAUCCCACUGGUGUGGAGGACCCUUAAACACAGCCAGUUCAUAAGGAGAGCGACAAGGAUGACUGGAUGUUAAUUACCAGACUGAUGAAUAUACAAUGCAGGAAUCAACAGGGACUGAAAGAAAACUCGUCUGAGCUAAGAUAUUAACAUGCUCGAUAACCUUGGCCAAGGCACUUGGCCUCUGUACGCCUCAAUUAGCCAAACAGUAAAGUUGAAUAAAAUAAAAAUCUUGAUGAAAAUUAGAUGUGGAACUUAAUUUACUCUGAUGAGCUUU